rnacentral:rRNA from 1 species
GACGAACGCUGGCGGCGUGCCUAAUACAUGCAAGUUGAGCGCUGAAGGUUGGUACUUGUACCAACUGGAUGAGCAGCGAACGGGUGAGUAACGCGUGGGUAAUCUGCCUUUGAGCGGGGGACAACAUUUGGAAACGAAUGCUAAUACCGCAUAAAAACUUUAAACACAAGUUUUAAGUUUGAAAGAUGCAAUUGCAUCACUCAAAGAUGAUCCCGCGUUGUAUUAGCUAGUUGGUGAGGUAAAGGCUCACCAAGGCGAUGAUACAUAGCCGACCUGAGAGGGUGAUCGGCCACAUUGGGACUGAGACCCGGCCCAAACUCCUACGGGAGGCAGCAGUAGGGAAUCUUCGGCAAUGGACGAAAGUCUGACCGAGCAACGCCGCGUGAGUGAAGAAGGUUUUCGGAUCGUAAAACUCUGUUGGUAGAGAAGAACGUUGGUGAGAGUGGAAAGCUCAUCAAGUGACGGUAACUACCCAGAAAGGGACGGCUAACUACGUG